rnacentral:rRNA from 1 species
UGGUGGGUAGUUUGACUGGGGCGGUCUCCUCCCAAAGAGUAACGGAGGAGCACGAAGGUGGGCUAAUCACGGUUGGACAUCGUGAGGUUAGUGCAAUGGCAUAAGCCCGCUUGACUGCGAGAAUGACAAUUCGAGCAGGUGCGAAAGCAGGUCAUAGUGAUCCGGUGGUUCUGAAUGGAAGGGCCAUCGCUCAACGGAUAAAAGGUACUCCGGGGAUAACAGGCUGAUACCGCCCAAGAGUUCAUAUCGACGGCGGUGUUUGGCACCUCGAUGUCGGCUCAUCACAUCCUGGGGCUGAAGUCGGUCCCAAGGGUAUGGCUGUUCGCCAUUUAAAGUGGUACGCGAGCUGGGUUUAGAACGUCGUGAGACAGUUCGGUCCCUAUCUGCCGUGGGCGUUGGAAGAUUGAAGGGGGCUGCUCCUAGUACGAGAGGACCGGAGUGGACGAACCUCUGGUGUUCGGGUUGUGUCGCCAGACGCAUUGCCCGGUAGCUAAGUUCGGAAUCGAUAACCGCUGAAAGCAUCUAAGCGGGAAGCGAGCCCUGAGAUGAGUCUUCCCUGAUACUUUAAGUAUCCUAAAGGGUUGUCGGAGACUACGACGUUGAUAGGUCAGGUGUGUAAGUGCUGUGAGGCAUUGAGCUAACUGAUACUAAUUGCCCGUGAGGCUUAACCAUACAACACCCAAGGGGUUU